CACGUAGGCUGUAGUGUAAGUCAGGGGUGAAAUCCCACGGCUCAACCGUGGAACUGCCUUUGAUACUGCACAACUUGAAUCCGGGAGAGGGUGGCGGAAUUCCAGGUGUAGGAGUGAAAUCCGUAGAUAUCUGGAGGAACAUCAGUGGCGAAGGCGGCCACCUAGACCGGUAUUGACGCUAAGGUGCGAAAGCGUGGGGAGCAAACCA
rnacentral:rRNA from 1 species